GAUGAACGCUGGCGGCGUGCCUAAUACAUGCAAGUCGAGCGAACAGAUAAGGAGCUUGCUCCUUUGACGUUAGCGGCGGACGGGUGAGUAACACGUGGAUAACCUACCUAUAAGACUGGGAUAACUUCGGGAAACCGGAGCUAAUACCGGAUAACAUAUUGAACCGCAUGGUUCAAUGGUGAAAGGCGGCUUUGCUGUCACUUAUAGAUGGAUCCGCGCCGUAUUAGCUAGUUGGUAAGGUAACGGCUUACCAAGGCAACGAUACGUAGCCGACCUGAGAGGGUGAUCGGCCACACUGGAACUGAGACACGGUCCAGACUCCUACGGGAGGCAGCAGUAGGGAAUCUUCCGCAAUGGGCGAAAGCCUGACGGAGCAACGCCGCGUGAGUGAUGAAGGUCUUCGGAUCGUAAAACUCUGUUAUCAGGGAAGAACAAAUGUGUAAGUAACUGUGCACAUCUUGACGGUACCUGAUCAGAAAGCCACGGCUAACUACGU
rnacentral:rRNA from 1 species